UAAGGGCUAUUGGUGGAUGUCUUGGUAUCGUAAGGCUAUGAAGGACGCGUUACCUGCGAAAAGCUUCGGGGAGCUGGUAAAAGCAUUGAUCCGGAGGUGUCCGAAUGGGGGAACCCGUUAGGUUAAUAGCCUAACACUUUUAACUGAAUACAUAGGUUAAGAGAGCUAUACCUGCUGAAGUGAAACAUCUCAGUAAGCAGAGGAAAAAAAAUCAAAAGAGAUUCCCUGAGUAGCGGCGAGCGAAAUGGGAACAGCCCAAACCGGUAGAUUUAUUUACCGGGGUUGUAGGGCCUGCAAUAUGUACUUUCAAUUCUUAGUGGAAUUACUUGGGAAAGUAAACAAUAUAGGGUGAUAGUCCCGUACACGAAAAGAAGCGAAAGGCUAGCAGGUACCUGAGUAGGGCCAGACACGUGAAACCUGGUCUGAAUCUGGGGAGACCACUCUCCAAGGCUAAAUACUAGACGAUAACCGAUAGUGGACAAGUACCGUGAGGGAAAGAUGAAAAGAACCCCUGUUAGGGGAGUGAAAUAGAACCUGAAACCAGUAGCCUACAAGCGGUCAGAGGCCUAUGCCCUUUUUAAGGGAAUGGCUGAUGGCGUGCCUUUUGCAUGAUGAGCCAGCGAGUUAUGCUGUAUGGCAAGGUUAAGAGACUUACGUUUCGGAGCCAAAGCGAAAGCGAGUGUGAUAAGCGCGAAUUAAGUCAUACGGUGUAGACACGAAACCAAGUGAUCUAUCCAUGGCCAGGUUGAAGCAAGGGUAAGACCUUGUGGAGGACCGAACCAGUAUCUGUUGAAAAAGAUUUGGAUGAGCUGUGGAUAGGGGUGAAAGGCCAAUCAAACUUGGAAAUAUCUUGUUCUCUCCGAAAUAACUUUAGGGUUAGCCUUGGUGUAACAUUUUCUGGGGGUAGAGCACUGAAUCCCUGCGGGGGCCUACCGGCCUACCAAAGGGAAUCAAACUCCGAAUACCAGAAGAUUAACCAGGAGAUAGACAGUGGGGGAUAAGCUUCAUUGUCGAGAGGGGAACAGCCCAGACCGUCGAUUAAGGUCCCUAAUUCUAUGCUAAGUGAGUAAGGAUGUGGAGUUUCAUAAACAAUUGGGAUGUUGGCUUACAGGCAGCCAUCAUUUAAAGAGUGCGUAACAGCUCACCAAUCGAGAAACUUUGCGCCGAUAAUACACGGGACUAAGUAUAGAACCGAAAUCACGGGUGUACACUUUAUAGUGUACGCGGUAGGAGAGCAUAGUAUGUGCAAUGAAGGUAUACCGUAAGGAGUGCUGGAGCGCAUACUAGUGAAGAUGCAUGGCAUGAGUACACGAUAAAGGGAGUGAGAAUCUCCCUCGCCGAAAACCUAAGGUUUCCAGGGUAAAGCUCGUCUUCCCUGGGUUAGCCGGUCCCUAAGCUGAGGCUGAAAAGCGUAAGUGAUGGAAAACAGGUUAAAUAUUCCUGUGCCGCCUAAAGCUAUGGUGAUGAAGUGACAAAGUAAGUAACGCACGCGGACUGUUGGUUAUGUCCGUUCGACUAUGAGGUUGGUCAGUAGGUAAAUCCGCUGACAUAAUACUAGGUAGUUGACAAGGGGAACCUUCGGGGGAACCGAUAGUGUUGAGCGAUGCUUUCAAGAAACAGCUUCUAGCCGCUGAUGGCGACCGUACCAAAACCGACACAGGUGGGUAGGAUGAAAAUUCUAAGGCGCGCGAGAGAACUCUCGUUAAGGAACUCGGCAAAUUGUCCCCGUAACUUCGGGAGAAGGGGAGCCUCCGGGUGUGACAUCUUCGCGAUGGUAGCACCUAGAGGCCGCAGAGAAUAGACCCAGGCGACUGUUUAACAAAAACACAGCACUAUGCCAAGUCGUUAAGACGAUGUAUAUGGUGUGAAGCCUGCCCAAUGCCAAAAGGUCAAAGUAAGAUGUUAGCUUCGGCGAAGCAUUGAACUAAAGCCCUGGUGAAUGGCGGCCGUAACAAUAACGGUCCU
rnacentral:rRNA from 14 species